rnacentral:rRNA from 1 species
UACGAAGGGGGCUAGCGUUGCUCGGAAUCACUGGGCGUAAAGCGCACGUAGGCGGCUUGUUAAGUCGGGGGUGAAAUCCUGGAGCUCAACUCCAGAACUGCCUUCGAUACUGAGGAUCUCGAGUCCGGGAGAGGUGAGUGGAACUGCGAGUGUAGAGGUGAAAUUCGUAGAUAUUCGCAAGAACACCAGUGGCGAAGGCGGCUCACUGGCCCGGUACUGACGCUGAGGUGCGAAAGCGUGGGGAGCAAACAGG